GAUGAACGCUGGCGGCGUGCCUAAUACAUGCAAGUCGAGCGAACAGACGAGGAGCUUGCUCCUCUGACGUUAGCGGCGGACGGGUGAGUAACACGUGGAUAACCUACCUAUAAGACUGGGAUAACUUCGGGAAACCGGAGCUAAUACCGGAUAAUAUAUUGAACCGCAUGGUUCAAUAGUGAAAGACGGUUUUGCUGUCACUUAUAGAUGGAUCCGCGCCGCAUUAGCUAGUUGGUAAGGUAACGGCUUACCAAGGCAACGAUGCGUGGCCGACCUGGGAGGGUGAUCGGCCACACUGGAACUGAGACACGGUCCAGACUCCUACGGGAGGCAGCAGUAGGGAAUCUUCCGCAAUGGGCGAAAGCUUGACGGAGCAACGCCGCGUGAGUGAUGAAGGUCUUCGGAUCGUAAAACUCUGUUAUUAGGGAAGAACAAAUGUGUAAGUAACUAUGCACGUCUUGACGGUACCUAAUCAGAAAGCCACGGCUAACUACGUG
rnacentral:rRNA from 1 species